UUUAUUUGCAAAGAACAGAAGUGCAAGUGCAGUAGAAAGAAAAAACCUAUUGAUAGGAGAAAUUCAAGGUCCAAUCAUGAUCAUGAUUACUUACCUUCUGCUUCCUACCUAGGCUACCUGCCGCCUGACUCCUGCGCUUGCUGAUGAACUAUCCAACUGCAGCAGCUCGUUGUGAAGCAAAACAUGGCGCGGAUCUUCGCGAACUUGAAUCCGGCGUCUGGCGAAACCGCAAAAGACCGAGCCAAGUGCCGUCAUCACGCUGUGGGUCGCUGAGCCAUCGGAGUAACAAAGCACUCGGACUGGUUGAACUCGGAUCUUCGCCAAUUUGAAGCAGACAGGCGACUACCUUGAAAUCGCACAAAACCGAGGCAAAUGCCGUCAUCUCAUAUCGGAGGGAGGCCAAGACAUCGCGAGCUUGAAGCAGGCAGGCGACUGGCUUGAAACCGCACAAGAUCGAGGCAAAUGCCGUCAUCUCAUAUCGGAGGGACGCCAAGAUAUCGCGAGCUUGAAGCAGGCAGGCGACUGGCUUGAAACCGCACAAGAUCGAGGCAAAUGCCGUCAUCUCAUAUCGGAGGGAGGCCAAGACAUCGCGAGCUUGAAGUAGGCAGGCGACUGCCUUGAAACCGCACAAGACCGAGGCAAAUGCCGUCAUCCCUUAUCGAGAACAAGACAAUCUUUGGAUUGAGCUGAGCCAUCACAAUAAGUAAGAUUUGGCUGCGUGUCGACGUCACGUCUGAGCCUCGAAGCUGCCGCGACCAGCGCCAACUGACGUCAUGCCGUCCAGCU